GCCAUGGGAUGGCUGCUGUCUCCUUUGGAUCUUUUUGCGGUCUGGGCUUGCUGUUCCUCUCAACAGUAGUCAGGAAGCCCUUACCCCAAAAAGUAUCUGCGGGAGGCCUUGUCCACAGGGGAGGCU
rnacentral:pre_miRNA from 1 species